GCUUAUUCUCAGGGCGGGGCGAAAUUCCCCACCGGCGGUAAAUCAGCUACGGCUGAAAGCCCGCGAGCGCUUUCCGGCAACGGAAAGGUCAGCAGAUCCGGUGUAAUUCCGGGGCCGACGGUUAGAGUCCGGAUGGGAGAGGGUAACG
rnacentral:ncRNA from 2 species